GAUGAACGCUGGCGGCGUGCCUAAUACAUGCAAGUCGAGCGAACGGACGAGAAGCUUGCUUCUCUGAUGUUAUCGGCGGACGGGUGAGUAACACGUGGAUAACCUACCUAUAAGACUGGGGUACCUUCGGGAAACCGGAGCUAAGACCGGAUAAUAUUUUGCCCCUCAUGGUUCACACGUUAAAGACGGUCUUGCUGUCACUUAUAGAUUGAUCCGAGCUGCAUUAGCUAGUUGGUAAGGUAACGGCUUACCAAGGCAACGAUGCAUAGCCGACCUGAGAGGGUGAUCGGCAACACUGGAACUGAGACACGGUCCAGACUCCUAAGGGAGGCAGCAGUAGGGAAUCUUCCGCAAUGGGCGAAAGCCUGACGGAGCAAAGCCGCGUGAGUGAUGAAGGUCUUCGGAUCGUAAAACUCUGUUAUUAGGGAAGAACAUAUGUGUAAGUAACUGUGCACAUCUUGACGGUACCUAAUCAGAAAGCCACGGCUAACUACGUG
rnacentral:rRNA from 1 species